ACUCCUACGGGAGGCAGCAGUGGGGAAUAUUGCACAAUGGGCGUAAGCCUGAUGCUGCAACGCCGCGUGAGGGACGACGGCCUUCGGGUUGUAAACCUCUUUUAGUAGGGAAGAAGCGAAAGUGACGGUACCUGCAGAAAAAGCACCGGCUAACUACGUGCCAGCAGCCGCGGUAAUACGUAGGGUGCAAGCGUUAUCCGGAAUUAUUGGGCGUAAAGAGCUCGUAGGCGGUUUGUCGCGUCUGCUGUGAAAACUGGAGGCUCAACCUCCAGCCUGCAGUGGGUACGGGCAGACUAGAGUGCGGUAGGGGAGAUUGGAAUUCCUGGUGUAGCGGUGGAAUGCGCAGAUAUCAGGAGGAACACCGAUGGCGAAGGCAGAUCUCUGGGCCGUAACUGACGCUGAGGAGCGAAAGCAUGGGGAGCGAACAGGAUUAGAUACCGUGGUAGUCCAUGCCGUAAACGUUGGGAACUAGAUGUAGGGACCAUUCCACGGUUUCUGUGUCGCAGCUAACGCAUUAAGUUCCCCGCCUGGGGAGUACGGCCGCAAGGCUAAAACUCAAAGGAAUUGACGGGGGCCCGCACAAGCGGCGGAGCACGCGGAUUAAUUCGAUGCAACGCGAAGAACCUUACCAAGGCUUGACAUAUACCGGAAAAGGCUAGAAAUAGUCUCCCCGCAAGGUCGGUAUACAGGUGGUGCAUGGUUGUCGUCAGCUCGUGUCGUGAGAUGUUGGGUUAAGUCCCGCAACGAGCGCAACCCUCGUUCUAUGUUGCCAGCACGUAAUGGUGGGAACUCAUAGGAGACUGCCGGGGUCAACUCGGA
rnacentral:rRNA from 1 species